UUAAGCGACUAAGCGUACACGGUGGAUGCCCUGGCAGUCAGAGGCGAUGAAGGACGUGCUAAUCUGCGAAAAGCGCCGGCGAGGUGAUAUGAACCUUUGACCCGGCGAUGUCCGAAUGGGGAAACCCAGUGUGUUCCGACACACUAUCGUUAACUGAAUACAUAGGUUAACGAGGCGAACCGGGGGAACUGAAACAUCUAAGUACCCCGAGGAAAAGAAAUCAACCGAGAUUCCCCCAGUAGCGGCGAGCGAACGGGGAGCAGCCCAGAGUCUGAAUCAGCUUGUGUGUUAGUGGAAGCGUCUGGAAAGUCGCACGGUACAGGGUGACAGUCCCGUACACGAAAGCACACAGGUUGUGAACUCGAAGAGUAGGGCGGGACACGUGGUAUCCUGUCUGAAUAUGGGGGGACCAUCCUCCAAGGCUAAAUACUCCUGACUGACCGAUAGUGAACCAGUACCGUGAGGGAAAGGCGAAAAGAACCCCGGCGAGGGGAGUGAAAAAGAACCUGAAACCGUGUACGUACAAGCAGUGGGAGCCUCUUUUAUGGGGUGACUGCGUACCUUUUGUAUAAUGGGUCAGCGACUUAUAUUCUGUAGCAAGGUUAACCGUAUAGGGGAGCCGAAGGGAAACCGAGUCUUAACUGGGCGUUAAGUUGCAGGGUAUAGACCCGAAACCCGGUGAUCUAGCCAUGGGCAGGUUGAAGGUUGGGUAACACUAACUGGAGGACCGAACCGACUAAUGUUGAAAAAUUAGCGGAUGACUUGUGGCUGGGGGUGAAAGGCCAAUCAAACCGGGAGAUAGCUGGUUCUCCCCGAAAGCUAUUUAGGUAGCGCCUCGUGAACUCAUCUUCGGGGGUAGAGCACUGUUUCGGCUAGGGGGCCAUCCCGGCUUACCAACCCGAUGCAAACUACGAAUACCGAAGAAUGUUAUCACGGGAGACACACGGCGGGUGCUAACGUCCGUCGUGAAGAGGGAAACAACCCAGACCGCCAGCUAAGGUCCCAAAGUCAUGGUUAAGUGGGAAACGAUGUGGGAAGGCACAGACAGCCAGGAUGUUGGCUUAGAAGCAGCCAUCAUUUAAAGAAAGCGUAAUAGCUCACUGGUCGAGUCGGCCUGCGCGGAAGAUGUAACGGGGCUAAACCAUGCACCGAAGCUGCGGCAGCGACGCUUAUGCGUUGUUGGGUAGGGGAGCGUUCUGUAAGCCGUUGAAGGUGUCCUGUGAGGGGUGCUGGAGGUAUCAGAAGUGCGAAUGCUGACAUAAGUAACGAUAAAGCGGGUGAAAAGCCCGCUCGCCGGAAGACCAAGGGUUCCUGUCCAACGUUAAUCGGGGCAGGGUGAGUCGACCCCUAAGGCGAGGCCGAAAGGCGUAGUCGAUGGGAAACAGGUUAAUAUUCCUGUACUUGGUGUUACUGCGAAGGGGGGACGGAGAAGGCUAUGUUAGCCGGGCGACGGUUGUCCCGGUUUAAGCAUGUAGGCGGAACGAUUAGGUAAAUCCGGUCGUUUAUUAACGCUGAGGUGUGAUGACGAGGCACUACGGUGCUGAAGUAACAAAUGCCCUGCUUCCAGGAAAAGCCUCUAAGCAUCAGGUAACAUCAAAUCGUACCCCAAACCGACACAGGUGGUCAGGUAGAGAAUACCAAGGCGCUUGAGAGAACUCGGGUGAAGGAACUAGGCAAAAUGGUGCCGUAACUUCGGGAGAAGGCACGCUGAUAUGUAGGUGAAGUCCCUGCGGAUGGAGCUGAAAUCAGUCGAAGAUACCAGCUGGCUGCAACUGUUUAUUAAAAACACAGCACUGUGCAAACACGAAAGUGGACGUAUACGGUGUGACGCCUGCCCGGUGCCGGAAGGUUAAUUGAUGGGGUUAGCGGUAACGCGAAGCUCUUGAUCGAAGCCCCGGUAAACGGCGGCCGUAACUAUAACGGUCCUAAGGUAGCGAAAUUCCUUGUCGGGUAAGUUCCGACCUGCACGAAUGGCGUAAUGAUGGCCAGGCUGUCUCCACCCGAGACUCAGUGAAAUUGAACUCGCUGUGAAGAUGCAGUGUACCCGCGGCAAGACGGAAAGACCCCGUGAACCUUUACUAUAGCUUGACACUGAACACUGGUCCUUGAUGUGUAGGAUAGGUGGGAGGCUUUGAAGCGUGGACGCCAGUCUGCGUGGAGCCAACCUUGAAAUACCACCCUUUAAUGGCUGGUGUUCUAACGUAGACCCGUAAUCCGGGUUGCGGACAGUGUCUGGUGGGUAGUUUGACUGGGGCGGUCUCCUCCCAAAGAGUAACGGAGGAGCACGAAGGUUAGCUAAUCCUGGUCGGACAUCAGGAGGUUAGUGCAAUGGCAUAAGCUAGCUUGACUGCGAGAGUGACGGCUCGAGCAGGUGCGAAAGCAGGUCAUAGUGAUCCGGUGGUUCUGAAUGGAAGGGCCAUCGCUCAACGGAUAAAAGGUACUCCGGGGAUAACAGGCUGAUACCGCCCAAGAGUUCAUAUCGACGGCGGUGUUUGGCACCUCGAUGUCGGCUCAUCACAUCCUGGGGCUGAAGUAGGUCCCAAGGGUAUGGCUGUUCGCCAUUUAAAGUGGUACGCGAGCUGGGUUUAGAACGUCGUGAGACAGUUCGGUCCCUAUCUGCCGUGGGCGCUGGAGAAUUGAGGGGGGCUGCUCCUAGUACGAGAGGACCGGAGUGGACGCAUCACUGGUGUUCGGGUUGUCAUGCCAAUGGCACUGCCCGGUAGCUAAAUGCGGAAGAGAUAAGUGCUGAAAGCAUCUAAGCACGAAACUUGCCCCGAGAUGAGUUCUCCCUGAGACUUUAAGUCUCCUGAAGGAACGUUGAAGACUACGACGUUGAUAGGUCGGGUGUGUAAGCGCAGCGAUGCGUUGAGCUAACCGAUACUAAUGAACCGUGAGGCUUAACCUU
rnacentral:rRNA from 1 species